UACGUAGGGGGCGAGCGUUGUCCGGAUUUAUUGGGCGUAAAGAGCUCGUAGGCGGCUAAGCAAGUCGGGUGGGAAAUCUCCAGGCUCAACCUGGAGCCUUCGCCCGAUACUGCUUUGGCUUGAGUCCGGUAGGGGAGUGUGGAGUUCCCGGUGUAGCGGUGAGAUGCGCAGAUAUCGGGAGGAACACCGGCGGCGAAGGCGGCACUCUGGGCCGGUACUGACGCUGAGGAGCGAAAGCGUGGGGAGCAAACAGG
rnacentral:rRNA from 1 species